ensembl:lncRNA
AUGUCCUUUCAGCAGGGGACAAUCCCAUCAGAGGUGAAAACGGCAAUUAGCAAAAACUUCUUUGAAAUAUGGAAAAAACAUUUUGGUCGUAUAUCAAUGUUGGUAUACUCACUUGUUUUGGUAGUGCUUGAAAAGAUAUUGGAAUCUGAUUUUAAAUGCCCAGAAGAGCUGCACUUGAGACAUUCGUACACCAUCUUACUUUUCAUUAUGCCAGCAGUACUUUUUUUUAUAUUAGGCAUGAUUUUGCAGACAGAGUUUCUACGUCCUUCUCAUAAAGAAAACGAAUUCUACUACUUUUACAGCAAAUGCAAAAGUGACAACAAACACAAAAGUGACUCCACAGAUAAGCACAAGUUUCGUAGCUGUUGGGGUGUUUUUUUAAAGGCUUCUUUUCCUGCUGUCUUGUGGAUAGUGAUCCUUCUUCUGGAUGGAAGAUAUGUUGACUGCCUCAGUAAGAACAUCACAGAGUAUCAGAUUUUCCAGCUCGUGGGACUCGGUGUCAUAUUCCUGUUGUCUGUAUUGGGUCAAUGCAAGUGCUGCUGCAAGAAGGGCUACAGAAAAAAGAUAACAGUGGAUGGAGAUGAAAUCAAACGAAUAGAGAAAGAAGUUGAUGAAAGAUUUUAAAACAGAAGGAAAAGGUAUCUGGCAAUGCGUAAAGGAUGAAUAUGCCCAAAAAGAAUGUGGUAACUACUGACAAAAAAUAUAUCUGUACAAUACAUGAAGCUUGUGACAUUUCAGGAGAAGGCGGCUCAGCUGACCAAGAAAAAAGGAACUUCAUCAUCACCUCAGAGGACCGGUCAGUCACCUCAAGAACCUCCAGUCCUUACGUCAAGUGACCUCCAGUCCUGUACAGCAGGAACCUCCAAUCUGUCACUUCAAGUGAUAUCAGAAAACAUAAGUUGUUCAAUGUGUGUGAUUUUUCUGUAUUUUAAAACGCCACAGAAAGUCUGGUAACUGAUUAUAUACCAGUAAUAACACCAAACCAUGACUACACAGCAACUGCAAGCUACUAAAUGCACAAAAACUGAAGUGGAAAUAAGGAAGGACAUGCACCCCAGCAGUUCUGCUCCUCCAGCCUCUCCCUGCGUCUUGGCUUCCUCUCCCAGGCUAGGGGGGCUGUAGUUGGUUCCCCUCCUCCAUUCCAGGUGGGAGAGGGUGGCUCCAGGGGCUCCCCACCCUCCUCUGCCAGGCUGGUGCUCCAGGAGGGCAAGGGGGAGAGCUGUCUUGUCCUGUUGUUCACAAGAGGGGAGGAGGAAAUGGCACUGGAGCCACUUGAACUGUUGGGCUCUUUUAGUUCCCUCUUCCACCUUCCCCUCCAUGAGAAUGGUGUCUGGAUGUCGAGGGAGUGGGAAAGGGAGAGAGCUCUGAGUGCAAAGUGCCAGAUCCGUAGCAGCACUACACCUCUCUGGAUGAGAUUUCCUGAGGUAUGUGUAAACAUGUGACAGAGGUUCAAUGUAAGUCUUAUAACUCAGGUGUCUGAGAUCUCCGGUCUUCAUUUCAUGAGGUCUACAGUUCUUCACCGUAAGAGAUCUUCAACCCUUCACCUCAAGGUUUUCCAAUUCUCCACUUCAAGAUCUCAAUACCUCAUCUCAAAGAUCCCAACCUUUCACCUCAGAGGUCCAAACUUCAUCUCAAGGAACUACAGAUUUCUGAUUUCUAAGUAGUGUAAUCUCCAAGGGAAAGCACAACAAAAACCUCAAAACCUGCUUCUCUCAACUGGAAAACAAAGAAAAAAAAUUAAGGAUGAUUAAAAUUCUGUCCAUAUCUAGUUAACAAUGGUCAUAGGAUGACCCAUCAUCAUUAAAAUAUCUUCCGAUGAAGUAGUUUUGAAACAUAGAAGUUUAGGUAACCACAACAUUUGUGUUCCAGAAGAAAUCCAGAGACUGCCAAUAAUCCGCUCAAGACUUCUGCAGCUGUCAAAUAGUUAAAUACAAGGCUUACCUAGCAAAUAGCUCAGUUGUUUUUCACAUGCACUAGAUUUGCUUUAGCAUUUACUUUCAUAUUUUAUGUGCAAGGCAUUUAAAAAUAAAGCACUCUGAAACUCAACA